AGCGUACACGGUGGAUGCCCUGGCAGUCAGAGGCGAUGAAGGACGUGCUAAUCUGCGAUAAGCGUCGGUAAGGUGAUAUGAACCGUUAUAACCGGCGAUUUCCGAAUGGGGAAACCCAGUGUGAUUCGUCACACUAUCAUUAACUGAAUCCAUAGGUUAAUGAGGCGAACCGGGGGAACUGAAACAUCUAAGUACCCCGAGGAAAAGAAAUCAACCGAGAUUCCCCCAGUAGCGGCGAGCGAACGGGGAGCAGCCCAGAGCCUGAAUCAGUGUGUGUGUUAGUGGAAGCGUCUGGAAAGGCGCGCGAUACAGGGUGACAGCCCCGUACACAAAAAUGCACAUGCUGUGAGCUCGAUGAGUAGGGCGGGACACGUGGUAUCCUGUCUGAAUAUGGGGGGACCAUCCUCCAAGGCUAAAUACUCCUGACUGACCGAUAGUGAACCAGUACCGUGAGGGAAAGGCGAAAAGAACCCCGGCGAGGGGAGUGAAAAAGAACCUGAAACCGUGUACGUACAAGCAGUGGGAGCCUCUUUAUGGGGUGACUGCGUACCUUUUGUAUAAUGGGUCAGCGACUUAUAUUCUGUAGCAAGGUUAACCGAAUAGGGGAGCCGAAGGGAAACCGAGUCUUAACUGGGCGUUAAGUUGCAGGGUAUAGACCCGAAACCCGGUGAUCUAGCCAUGGGCAGGUUGAAGGUUGGGUAACACUAACUGGAGGACCGAACCGACUAAUGUUGAAAAAUUAGCGGAUGACUUGUGGCUGGGGGUGAAAGGCCAAUCAAACCGGGAGAUAGCUGGUUCUCCCCGAAAGCUAUUUAGGUAGCGCCUCGUGAAUUCAUCUCCGGGGGUAGAGCACUGUUUCGGCAAGGGGGUCAUCCCGACUUACCAACCCGAUGCAAACUGCGAAUACCGGAGAAUGUUAUCACGGGAGACACACGGCGGGUGCUAACGUCCGUCGUGAAGAGGGAAACAACCCAGACCGCCAGCUAAGGUCCCAAAGUCAUGGUUAAGUGGGAAACGAUGUGGGAAGGCCCAGACAGCCAGGAUGUUGGCUUAGAAGCAGCCAUCAUUUAAAGAAAGCGUAAUAGCUCACUGGUCGAGUCGGCCUGCGCGGAAGAUGUAACGGGGCUAAACCAUGCACCGAAGCUGCGGCAGCGACACUAUGUGUUGUUGGGUAGGGGAGCGUUCUGUAAGCCUGUGAAGGUGUACUGUGAGGUAUGCUGGAGGUAUCAGAAGUGCGAAUGCUGACAUAAGUAACGAUAAAGCGGGUGAAAAGCCCGCUCGCCGGAAGACCAAGGGUUCCUGUCCAACGUUAAUCGGGGCAGGGUGAGUCGACCCCUAAGGCGAGGCCGAAAGGCGUAGUCGAUGGGAAACAGGUUAAUAUUCCUGUACUUGGUGUUACUGCGAAGGGGGGACGGAGAAGGCUAUGUUGGCCGGGCGACGGUUGUCCCGGUUUAAGCGUGUAGGCUGGUUUUCCAGGCAAAUCCGGAAAAUCAAGGCUGAGGCGUGAUGACGAGGCACUACGGUGCUGAAGCAACAAAUGCCCUGCUUCCAGGAAAAGCCUCUAAGCAUCAGGUAACAUCAAAUCGUACCCCAAACCGACACAGGUGGUCAGGUAGAGAAUACCAAGGCGCUUGAGAGAACUCGGGUGAAGGAACUAGGCAAAAUGGUGCCGUAACUUCGGGAGAAGGCACGCUGAUAUGUAGGUGAAGUCCCUCGCGGAUGGAGCUGAAAUCAGUCGAAGAUACCAGCUGGCUGCAACUGUUUAUUAAAAACACAGCACUGUGCAAACACGAAAGUGGACGUAUACGGUGUGACGCCUGCCCGGUGCCGGAAGGUUAAUUGAUGGGGUCAGCGCAAGCGAAGCUCUUGAUCGAAGCCCCGGUAAACGGCGGCCGUAACUAUAACGGUCCUAAGGUAGCGAAAUUCCUUGUCGGGUAAGUUCCGACCUGCACGAAUGGCGUAAUGAUGGCCAGGCUGUCUCCACCCGAGACUCAGUGAAAUUGAACUCGCUGUGAAGAUGCAGUGUACCCGCGGCAAGACGGAAAGACCCCGUGAACCUUUACUAUAGCUUGACACUGAACAUUGAGCCUUGAUGUGUAGGAUAGGUGGGAGGCUUGGAAGUGUGGACGCCAGUCUGCAUGGAGCCGACCUUGAAAUACCACCCUUUAAUGUUUGAUGUUCUAACGUUGACCCGUAAUCCGGGUUGCGGACAGUGUCUGGUGGGUAGUUUGACUGGGGCGGUCUCCUCCUAAAGAGUAACGGAGGAGCACGAAGGUUGGCUAAUCCUGGUCGGACAUCAGGAGGUUAGUGCAAUGGCAUAAGCCAGCUUGACUGCGAGCGUGACGGCGCGAGCAGGUGCGAAAGCAGGUCAUAGUGAUCCGGUGGUUCUGAAUGGAAGGGCCAUCGCUCAACGGAUAAAAGGUACUCCGGGGAUAACAGGCUGAUACCGCCCAAGAGUUCAUAUCGACGGCGGUGUUUGGCACCUCGAUGUCGGCUCAUCACAUCCUGGGGCUGAAGUAGGUCCCAAGGGUAUGGCUGUUCGCCAUUUAAAGUGGUACGCGAGCUGGGUUUAGAACGUCGUGAGACAGUUCGGUCCCUAUCUGCCGUGGGCGCUGGAGAACUGAGGGGGGCUGCUCCUAGUACGAGAGGACCGGAGUGGACGCAUCACUGGUGUUCGGGUUGUCAUGCCAAUGGCACUGCCCGGUAGCUAAAUGCGGAAGAGAUAAGUGCU
rnacentral:rRNA from 1 species